UACUAGACAUUUUUUUCUAUUAGACAUACAUUUAAUUUCAGUUUUCUAAUUACAAUUUUCAAAUGGGUUUAGAAAAGUAUAAUUUUUUUUUCAGAAUAUAAAAUCUGAAUUUGUCUUUAAAGGAGGAAUAAUGUUGAUGGAAAAUCCUAUUCAGCUUUAUUAAUAAGUAGUGUAUUCCAAAGUCACAGUAUAUAUUUUGAUCAAUAUAUGGAAAAAGAAAUAACAAUCAAAAUGACAAAUUUAUUUGUGUGAUUUUUUUCAGCUUCUUUCAAAAGACAUGAAAACUUGCUUGAUUAGAGACCUGUCAGAUUCAACAGGAAUAGCCACAACCUGUCUACUUAAACAAGGGGUCUGCUUUGCUGACUGCUCCCUUGUCCUCUGAGAUCCACACAGACUUCAUCUGAAAAGAUUCACUUCGUCUGCCUGUGAAGGACAAGGGGACCUUCUGACAUCUGCCAGCAUCAGCAGCAAAGACAGAUGACCAUGUUUGGCAAAUCCAGGAAAGGCAUGGGAUUUUUACAGGCAAGGUAACUGUAGCAGUUUCCCCACACCUGAAAAGACCUUCUAUUCUGUAUUCACAGCCAUGCCUGGCUUUUCUUGUUGAAGCAUUUGGAUGAGAGAAGAAAGGUGUAUCUUCAAAUUAAGUCUGCAGAGAAAGAGGUGGGAUUUCUGAACUGGUGCUAUUCUGAGGCCAUGCAAUUGCCAUUGGAUUGUGACACAUGCUUGAAAGAAAAAAGUUAUGAGAAAAGUGAUUUUUCUAAGCAAAGAAAUUGUGACAGAUACUUGCUGUGAGGAUUUUCAGUGAAGCAUUUCAUGAUGUCUUGCAGAAAAUUAUUGAAAAAUCUGCAAAUGUUGGAAGUUCCUAAAGGAAAUAUAUUCUGAAUAGGAGGCUGACAAAAAUGAGGAAUCCAACACAAGUGAGAGACAAAAUGU